rnacentral:rRNA from 1 species
UAGAGUUUGAUUAUGGCUCAGGAUGAACGCUGGCGGCGUGCCUAACACAUGCAAGUCGAGCGAGAAACCUGCAAUUGAAACUUCGGUAGAUUUUGCGGGCGGAAAGCGGCGGACGGGUGAGUAACGCGUAGGCAACCUGCCCUUUGCAGAGGGAUAGCAACGGGAAACUGUUAUUAAAACCUCAUAAUACCGACAUGUCAAAUGACAAGACGGUCAAAGAUUUAUCGGCAAAGGAUGGGCCUGCGUCUGAUUAGUUAGUUGGUAGGGUAACGGCCUACCAAGGCAGCGAUCAGUAGCCGACCUGAGAGGGUGAUCGGCCACAUUGGAACUGAGACACGGUCCAAACUCCUACGGGAGGCAGCAGUGGGGAAUAUUGCACAAUGGGCGAAAGCCUGAUGCAGCAACGCCGCGUGAAGGAUGAAGGCCUUUGGGUCGUAAACUUCUGUCCUUGGGGAAGAAAAAAAUGACGGUACCCCUGGAGGAAGUCCCGGCUAACUACGUGCCAGCAGCUGCGGUAAUACGUAGGGGGCGAGCGUUAUCCGGAAUUAUUGGGCGUAAAGAGUACGUAGGUGGUUUUUUAAGCGCAGGGUUUAAGGCGAUGGCUCAACUGUCGUUCGCCCUGUGAACUGGAAGACUUGAGUACAGGAGAGGAAAGCGGAAUUCCUAGUGUAGCGGUGAAAUGCAUAGAUAUUAGGAGGAACACCAGUGGCGAAGGCGGCUUUCUGGACUGUAACUGACACUGAGGUACGAAAGCGUGGGGAGCAAACAGGAUUAGAUACCCUGGUAGUCCACGCUGUAAACGAUGAGCACUAGGGUGUCGGGGUCGCAAGAUCUCGGUGCCGGAGUUAACGCAUUAAGUGCUCCGCCUGGGGAGUACGCACGCAAGUGUGAAACUCAAAGGAAUUGACGGGGACCCGCACAAGCAGCGGAGCAUGUGGUUUAAUUCGAAGCAACGCGAAGAACCUUACCAGAACUUGACAUCCUCCUGACAGGCCUUUAAUCGGGCCCUUCUUCGGACAGGAGAGACAGGUGGUGCAUGGUUGUCGUCAGCUCGUGUCGUGAGAUGUUGGGUUAAGUCCCGCAACGAGCGCAACCCUUGUCAUUAGUUGCUAACAUUAAGUUGAGGACUCUAAUGAGACUGCCGGGGACAACUCGGAGGAAGGUGGGGAUGACGUCAAAUCAUCAUGCCCCUUAUGUUCUGGGCUACACACGUGCUACAAUGGCCGGUACAACGAGAAGCGAAGUCGCAAGGCGGAGCAAACCUCAAAAACCGGUCCCAGUUCGGAUUGCAGGCUGAAACCCGCCUGCAUGAAGCCGGAGUUGCUAGUAAUCGCGAAUCAGAAUGUCGCGGUGAAUGCGUUCCCGGGUCUUGUACACACCGCCCGUCACACCAUGGAAGUUGGGGGCGCCCGAAGUUGGUCAAAUAAUAGAUUACCUAAGGCGAAAUCAAUGACUGGGGUGAAGUCGUAACAAGGUAGCCGUAGGAGAACCUGCGGCUGGAUCACCUCCUUUCU